rnacentral:rRNA from 1 species
UUGGAGGGCAAGUCUGGUGCCAGCAGCCGCGGUAAUUCCAGCUCCAAUAGCGUAUAUUAAAGUUGUUGCAGUUAAAAAGCUCGUAGUUGAAUUUCGAGAUCGAUGUUUCGGUCAUGCCGUUGGUAUGUACUGAUAUUAUUGAUUUCUCACCUUCUAAAGAACCGUAAUGCCAUUAAUUUGGUGUCACGGGGAAUUAGGACUGUUACCUUGAAAAAAUUAGAGUGUUUAAAGCAGGCUCACGCUUGAAUACAUUAGCAUGGAAUAAUGAAAUAGGACAUCCGAUUCUAUUUUGUUGGUUCCUAGGAUCGAUGUAAUGAUUAAUAGGGAUAGUUGGGGGCAUUAGUAUUCAAUUGUCAGAGGUGAAAUUCUUGGAUUUAUUGAAGACUAACUACUGCGAAAGCAUUUGCCAAGGAUGUUUUCAUUAAUCAAGAACGAAAGUUAGGGGAUCGAAGACGAUCAGAUACCGUCGUAGUCUUAACCAUAAACUAUGCCGACUAGGGAUCGGAUGAUGUUAAAUUUUUAAUGACUCAUUCGGCGCCUUACGGGAAAC